UACGUAGGGCGCAAGCGUUGUCCGGAAUUAUUGGGCGUAAAGAGCUCGUAGGCGGCUUGUCACGUCGGGUGUGAAAGCCCGGGGCUUAACCCCGGGUCUGCAUUCGAUACGGGCUAGCUAGAGUGUGGUAGGGGAGAUCGGAAUUCCUGGUGUAGCGGUGAAAUGCGCAGAUAUCAGGAGGAACACCAGCGGCGAAGGCGCCGCGCUGGGCCGUAACUGACGCUGAGGAGCGAAAGCAUGGGGAGCAAACAGG
rnacentral:rRNA from 1 species